ensembl:lncRNA
CCACGCCUCUGGUGACAGCAGCACCUGCCUUGCAGCUGGGCGACCUCCCCUCCCCCUCCCUUCCCCCAGAUACCCUGCGUCCUGCCAGCCGCGCCUGGCUCCCGCCUACACCCAUCUGUGCAGCGGUGGGACCUAGGACAAGACCUGCUCCUGCCGGAUGCGGGGGUGGGAACUAGUGGGUUGGGGGAUGUGGGGGCAGGGCAAGCAGGGAGAGGCUGAGCACACAGCACCAGACAUUCUGCAGACAACGAAGAGUACACAGGAAUAUACCUGCCUUAUAGCAGAAGUUCGAAAGUCCAGUGAGGUCUGUGAACCAUCCCGACUCGCCCUGUCCCACUGUCUGCCCUCUGAACAGGCCUGCCUGUAACCAGCGUGGCCUUUGUAAGUUGGCGUAACAGAGCACAGGCUGAAAUAAUGUCAAGAUUCAAACCCAAGCCUCCAGGCAUGAGAUGUUUGUUAUGAAAUCCCACCCACCUCAGCCCUGAGCCCAGGUUGCAAAACAUGCCAACAGAGCCAGACAGCACUUUGAGGCAAGGACCAUCAGCUAUGCCGUGCCUACAGAUGGACUUCUCAAAAGCCACAGUGCAUCCCAGACUUUUAUCUGGCUCUCCUAAUGGCAUGUGCCCCUUCUCUCUAAGAAACAUCACUACCUGCUCCUCCUGGGUCACCUGUUCCUCCUGGGCGCAGAUGACUUGCCACACCUGCAGGUACAUGGGCAUCUGGCACACCAAAUUCACCGGUGAAAAUGAAACAGGAUGUUGGGGCACUGACUGCUGUGUGCCACCCUAUAGAGAAACCAUGACGACUAUAUGAUAUCUUAGAGAAGAUAAGUGCUGUGCACCAUCCUACAGAAGAUUACACCCAGAGUUUUGAUCACUACCAUAUAUCAGCUCCCAGGGUGUUGGGGUGUGAUCCAUGGUGUAUAAAAGACCAUGGCUACUUUUUACCUGAAAGUGACUGAAUAAGAAGACAAUAAAGAGACACUGCAUGCCGUGACCUUAAGUCUGGAUAGUGGAGUGAGUCUAAAUAAACUAUUGCAUCACAUACUACUAAACUCUCGUCAACUUCUAUCACCUUGCUUGGGUGACUUGCCAAUUAAGUGAGCUCUUGUGACUGUGGGGCCCACUGCUUUGAGUCACAGCAGGUGUCAGGUAUUGAGCGCUACUGUCACGGAGGCUGCUGUCACCGAGGCCAAGGGUGAGGCCCUCAAAGUUGCACAGACUUUCAACAGCUCCAAUAGGAAAGCUCAAGACUAUUCAUGCUGGCCCCUUGUUGACUCAUCUAAAGGAAAUGGUGCCUUGAGGACCACCCUUUCCCAGAGGAUGAAACCGGAGGGAUGAAAACCGAGGGCUUGAAGGUUCUGAGUGGCAAACCAGAGCACUUGCAAUUAAGGACUGCCAUGCCCACUCAACCUGGUGGGAAAUCUGGUCUCGUCCACUUCAAUACAGGUUGAGGGGUUUCUAAGAAAGGGAAAGUUGAUGGAGUUAUACAGUCUUUCGGGUUUUCCUCUCCAUGAACUGAACUAGAAGUAGAUUCAUGCAACAUUUCUUCUUG